rnacentral:rRNA from 1 species
AGAACGAACGCUGGCGGCAUGCCUAAUACAUGCAAGUCGAACGAACUCUUCGGAGUUAGUGGCGCACGGGUGCGUAACGCGUGGGAAUCUGCCCUUGGGUUCGGAAUAACAGUUGGAAACGACUGCUAAUACCGGAUGAUGACGAAAGUCCAAAGACUUUAUCGCCCAGGGAUGAGCCCGCGUAGGAUUAGCUAGUUGGUGAGGUAAA